rnacentral:misc_RNA from 1 species
GACAGAGGGGGCAAGCGUUGCUCGGAAUCACUGGGCGUAAAGGGCGCGUAGGCGGGAGGUCAAGUCGGUCGUGAAAUCUCCGGGCUCAACCCGGAGGAGUCGGCCGAAACUGGUCUUCUUGAGGGAGGCAGAGGAGUCUGGAAUUCCCGGUGUAGCGGUGAAAUGUGUAGAGAUCGGGAGGAACACCGGUGGCGAAGGCGGGACUCUGGGCCUACCCUGACGCUGAGGCGCGAAGGCGUGGGGAGCAAACGGG